AUUGAACGCUGGCGGCAUGCCUUACACAUGCAAGUCGAACGGCAGCACGGGAGCAAUCCUGGUGGCGAGUGGCGAACGGGUGAGUAAUAUAUCGGAACGUGCCCAGUCGUGGGGAUAACGUAGCGAAAGCUACGCUAAUACCGCAUACGAUCUAUGGAUGAAAGCGGGGGAUCGCAAGACCUCGCGCGAUUGGAGCGGCCGAUAUCAGAUUAGGUAGUUAGUGAGGUAAAGGCUCACCAAGCCGACGAUCUGUAGCUGGUCUGAGAGGACGACCAGCCACACUGGGACUGAGACACGGCCCAGACUCCUACGGGAGGCAGCAGUGGGGAAUUUUUGGGACAAUGGGCGCAAGCCUGAUCCAGCAAUGCCGCGUGCAGGAUGAAGGCCU
rnacentral:rRNA from 1 species